GUUAGAGAUUACAGUUAAAAUCUUCUUCCCUUGGGUCAAUGGUCUCAUAGAUCUCAUCCUGGAUCAAGUUUACAUCAAGUAAUUGAUCUUUUUUAUUUUCAAAAUUAAAAAUAUUAAGAUCAAUGGAUAUGUUUCCAAAUGAGAGCUUCAUGAGUCCAUUGCGACAGUUGAUCAGGGUGUUGGUGGUUGUUAAAAAUGGUCUACCUAAGAUGACUGGGAUGUG
rnacentral:lncRNA from 1 species